UACGUAGGGGGCUAGCGUUGUCCGGAAUCAUUGGGCGUAAAGCGCGCGUAGGCGGCCCGGUAAGUCCGCUGUGAAAGUCCAGGGCUCAACCCUGGAAAGCCGGUGGAUACUGCCGGGCUAGAGUCCGGAAGAGGCGAGUGGAAUUCCUGGUGUAGCGGUGGAAUGCGCAGAUAUCAGGAAGAACACCAAUGGCGAAGGCAGCUCUCUGGGACGGUACUGACGCUGAGACGCGAAAGCGUGGGGAGCGAACAGG
rnacentral:rRNA from 1 species